rnacentral:rRNA from 1 species
UACGAAGGGGGCUAGCGUUGCUCGGAAUCACUGGGCGUAAAGCGCACGUAGGCGGAUGUUUAAGUCAGAGGUGAAAGCCUGGAGCUCAACUCCAGAACUGCCUUUGAUACUGCAAAUCUCGAGUCCGAUAGAGGUGGGUGGAAUUCCUAGUGUAGAGGUGAAAUUCGUAGAUAUUAGGAAGAACACCGGUGGCGAAGGCGGCCCACUGGAUCGGUACUGACGCUGAGGUGCGAAAGCGUGGGGAGCAAACAGG